rnacentral:rRNA from 1 species
UGAGCUGGGGGUGGCCGCAGAGACCAGCGAGAAGCGACUGUUUACUAAAAACACAGGUCCGUGCGAAGCCGUAAGGCGAUGUAUACGGACUGACGCCUGCCCGGUGCUGGAACGUUAAGGGGACCGGUUAGCUCCAUUUCGGUGGGGCGAAGCUGAGAACUUAAGCGCCAGUAAACGGCGGUGGUAACUAUAACCAUCCUAAGGUAGCGAAAUUCCUUGUCGGGUAAGUUCCGACCUGCACGAAUGGCGUAACGACUUCUCGACUGUCUCAACCAUAGGCCCGGUGAAAUUGCACUACGAGUAAAGAUGCUCGUUUCGCGCAGCAGGACGGAAAGACCCCGGGACCUUUACUACAGUUUGAUAUUGGUGUUCGGUUCGGCUUGUGUAGGAUAGCUGGGAGACUGUGAAGCUCGCACGCCAGUGUGGGUGGAGUCGUCGUUGAAAUACCAGUCUGGUCGUGCUGGAUGUCUAACCUGGGUCCGUGAUCCGGAUCAGGGACAGUGUCUGAUGGGUAGUUUAACUGGGGCGGUUGCCUCCUAAAGAGUAACGGAGGCGCCCAAAGGUUCCCUCAGCCUGGUUGGCAAUCAGGUGUUGAGUGUAAGUGCACAAGGGAGCUUGACUGUGAGACCGACGGGUCGAGCAGGGACGAAAGUCGGGACUAGUGAUCCGGCGGUGGCUUGUGGAAGCGCCGUCGCUCAACGGAUAAAAGGUACCCCGGGGAUAACAGGCUGAUCUUCCCCAAGAGUCCAUAUCGACGGGAUGGUUUGGCACCUCGAUGUCGGCUCGUCGCAUCCUGGGGCUGGAGUCGGUCCCAAGGGUUGGGCUGUUCGCCCAUUAAAGCGGUACGCGAGCUGGGUUUAGAACGUCGUGAGACAGUUCGGUCCCUAUCCGCUGUGCGCGUAGGAGUCUUGAGAAGGGCUGUCCCUAGUACGAGAGGACCGGGACGGACGAACCUCUGGUGUGCCAGUUGUUCUGCCAAGGGCAUGGCUGGUUGGCUACGUUCGGGAGGGAUAACCGCUGAAAGCAUCUAAGCGGGAAGCCUGCUUCGAGAUGAGGACUCCCACCCACUUGAUGGGGUAAGGCUCCCAGUAGACGACUGGGUUGAUAGGCCGGAUCUGGAAGCACCGUGAGGUGUGGAGGUGACCGGUACUAAUAGGCCGAGGGCUUGUCCUC